AAUUCUCAAUCUCUACAAACUUGUGUUGUUAGCAGAUUGGAGGUGGGGGCUUUGUGGGUGUAUCUAUUAUAUCCACUCCCCUAAAAAUUAUUAGCUGGAAUGCCUUUGCAAAACCAACUAUCAGUAUGAUAAUUAUCUACUCUGAUGUUGUUGUGAAGGGAAUCUGCUUUCAAACCGUCGUUUCGACACUUUGAAUCC
rnacentral:misc_RNA from 1 species